ACAAAGUAUCUAGAAUUUGUUUUUUCUUCAUUUCCUUCCAUUGGGAACUAUGAACAUCACAAAAUUGUCAUCAUAGGUUGGAUGCAUCUAAUUUACCCUCAAGCGAAUAAGAAUUGCAUACACCCAUUUCUUUCUCUCAGAGUCAAAAGCUAUUUUGAAAUCACUUGUUUAUGUCUUUCUUAAAUUACUCGGUACACUAGCUUGGCACCACGGGAGGGUUUACUUUUAUGAUUGCUCGGGAGGAGUUUUGUUUUGGUCAAAGCGGCUGGCCUGAAAAAAUUAGAAAGUAGCCUCCUGCCAAUGGUUCAAAUUAUGUCAGUGGUACUUACUCUAACUUGUAGAUAAAUAGGCUAAGCAAGAAAGCAAGACACUGUUCAUCAGCUUGCUCUAUUGAACUACAUUUGCCGCAAUUACGUAGAAAUUGGUGGGGUUGAUAAGGCCACCGCGCAGGUACUUCCUCCUAACAAAUCCGAGACAGCCAGGGGGAAAAGGCAGGAGGGGAAAAAGGAACAACACACGAGAUUGAUAUGAUCUUGGCUCGAAUUUUUAGGUUGUCGACUUUCUAAGCUUUUGCAAUACUUGAGACGCCCAGGUUAGCUGUCAAUGAAUAAAAUGAAAUGAUGAUACAAUAGUUGAUUUCCAAAUUAGUAGUAUCUUAUCUCGGUUCAGUACAUUUUGAUUCUUACUAUGCGACUUCGUUAAUAUCUUAGCUUCAAUUCUCAGACUCGUAUAAGAUCUCCAAUUUUCCUACGUCUUCCAAUGCUGCCGGCCGCCAGCAUCAGUAUCUCCGACCAAUAGUAUCUCAAUUCAAGAUUUCUGUCUGGUUUCAUUUAACACGAGGAUUGUUGAUUCUUCGAAAUUAAAACCAAAAAGAAAAAAGAAAA